CCUACGGGACGCAGCAGUGAGGAAUAUUGGUCAAUGGGCGCAAGCCUGAACCAGCCAAGUCGCGUGAGGGAAGACGGCCCUACGGGUUGUAAACCUCUUUUGCCGGGGAGCAAGCCUGAGCACGUGUGCCCAGGCGGAGAGUACCCGGAGAAAAAGCAUCGGCUAACUCCGUGCCAGCAGCCGCGGUAAUACGUAGGGUGCGAGCGUUAAUCGGAAUUACUGGGCGUAAAGGGUGUGCAGGCGGCUGAGUAAGACAGAUGUGAAAUCCCCGGGCUUAACCUGGGAACCGCAUAUGUGACUGCUUG
rnacentral:rRNA from 1 species